rnacentral:rRNA from 1 species
CGGUAAUUCCAGCUCCAAUAGCGUAUACUAAAGUUGUUGCAGUUAAAAAGCUCGUAGUUGGAUUUCUGCGGGGACGGAGCGGCCGGACGCAACUUGCGUCUCGAGCUAGCGCUUUCCCCGCAUCCUGCCGCGAACCGUGCUACCAUUAGUUUGGUGGCGCUGGGGAUCGGCUCGAUUACUUUGAGAAAAAUAGAGUGUUCAAAGCAGGCCACACGCCUUGAAUAAGUUAGCAUGGAAUAAUGACUAAGGACUUCGGUUCUAUUUUGUUGGUGUUCGGGACUGAAGUAAUGAUUGAUAGGGACAGUUGGGGCGGUCUGUAUUCCAAAGCGAGAGGUGAAAUUCUUAGACCUUCGGAAGACAAACAGCUGCGAAAGCGUUCCGCAAGGAUGUUCCCUUUGAUCAAGAACGAAAGUUGGGGGAUCGAAGACGAUCAGAUACCGUCGUAGUCUCAACUAUAAACUAUACCAGCUAGGGAUCGGUCAACGUUUAAUUAUUCGACUUGAUCGGCACCUUAUGAGAAAUCAAAGCAUCUGGGUUCCGGGGGGAGUAUGGUCGCAAGGCUGAAACUUAAAGGAAUUGACGGAAGGGCACCACCAGCCGUGGAGCCUGUGGCUUAAUUUGACUCAACACGGGAAAACUUACCAGGUCCAGACAUAGUAAGGAUUGACAGAUUGAUAGCUCUUUCUUGAUUCUGUGGGUGGUGGUGCAUGGCCGUUCUUAGUUGGUGGAGUGAUUUGUCUGGUUAAUUCCGUUAACGAACGAGACCCCAGCCUGCUAAAUAGCGCGGUUGAGCUUUGCUCGAUGCGAGCUUCUUAGAGGGACUAUGAUGCGCGAUAGCACAUGGAAGUUUGGGGCAAUAACAGGUCUGUGAUGCCCUUAGAUGUUCUGGGCCGCACACGGGCUACACUGGCGCCUGCAACGAGCAUAUCAGCUGGCCCGAGAGGGUCUUGGCUAAUCUUUUGAACCGGCGCCGUGCUUGGGAUUGACCUUUGCAAUUGUUGGUCAUGCAACGAGGAAUGCCUUGUAAACGCGAGUCAUCAGCUCGCAUUGAAUACGUCCCUGCCCUUUGUACACACCGCCCGUCGCUCCUACCGAUGAAUGUUCCGAUGAAAUUUUCGGAGAGCGCCAGAGAACGGGGCUCUGCCUUGCAGAUCUGGAGGCUCAAAGUCACUUAAAUCUGAACAUUUCGAGGAAGGAGAAGUCGUAACAAGGUAACC